ensembl:misc_RNA Metazoa_SRP Metazoan signal recognition particle RNA
CCUGGUGGUGGCACACACCUGUAGUCCCCAGCUACUCGGGAGGAUCUCUUGAAUCCAGGAGUUCUGGGCUAUAGUGUGCUAUGCCGAUCAGGUGUCGACACUAAGUUCAGCAUCAAUAUGGUGACGUCCCAGGAGCUGGGGCCCACCAGGUUGCCUAAGGAGGGGUGAACUGGUCCAGCUCAGAAACGGAGCAAGUCAAAACUCCUGUGCUGAUCAAUAGUGAAUUGACCCUGUGAAUAACCACUGUAGACCCGUCUUUUUUUAAAAAAAUU